rnacentral:rRNA from 1 species
GGGGCCCGCACAAGCGGUGGAGUAUGUGGUUUAAUUCGAUGCAACGCGAAGAACCUUACCUGGUCUUGACAUCCCGGAGACCCUUAGGAACUAGGGGUGCUUCCAUCUGGAAGAAUCUGGAGACAGGUGCUGCAUGGCUGUCGUCAGCUCGUGUCGUGAGAUGUUGGGUUAAGUCCCGCAACGAGCGCAACCCUUGCCUUUAGUUGCCAGCAGUUCGGCUGGGCACUCUAAAGGGACUGCCGGUGUUAAACCGGAGGAAGGUGGGGAUGACGUCAAGUCCUCAUGGCCUUUAUGACCAGGGCUACACACGUACUACAAUGGCCGAUACAAAGGGCAGCGACACUGUGAGGUGAAGCCAAUCCCGUAAAAUCGGUCUCAGUCCGGAUUGGAGUCUGCAACUCGACUCCAUGAAGUUGGAAUCGCUAGUAAUCGUGGAUCAGCAUGCCACGGUGAAUACGUUCCCGGGCCUU